GCGCUUUCUUAUUGCGGGCCGCGUUGCCCGCCAGCCCCAGGAUCUCGGUGGCCAGGUACAGCGACGCGCCGCCUCUGCCCUGCUCGCAGUAGCCGCCCUUGUGCAGUAGAUGGACGGCCUACUGGGGACUGCAGGCCCGCGGCGGGAAGAGCGGGUCGCAGCCUUGGCGCACGUUUUACCUCCGUUUCCCGCGGCCAGACAGGGGCUGUUAGCUAAUCAGGAUGUACCUUUGGACCUGUAUGGGCUCCGGCGAGGGAGAACAGUGCACCAAUCAGAGGUUGAGAUAUUAAAAGUUGUAUUCUGGGAAGUA